AUACGGAGGAUCCGAGCGUUAUCCGGAUUUAUUGGGUUUAAAGGGUGCGCAGGCGGCCAUUUAGGUCAGCGGUUAAAUCGUGGGGCUCAACCCCAUUCUGCCGUUGAUACUGGGUGGCUUGAUUGCGGUCGAGGUUGGCGGAAUUCGUUGUGUAGCGGUGAAAUGCAUAGAUAUGACGAAGAACACCGAUUGCGUAGGCAGCUGACCAGAUCGCAAAUGACGCUCAUGCACGAAAGUGCGGGGAUCGAACAGGAUUAGAUACCCUGGUAGUCCGCACAGUAAACGAUGAAUACUUGUUUCCGGCGAUAUAAUGUCGGAGGCAAAGCGAAAGCGAUAAGUAUUCCACCUGGGGAGUACGCCGGCAACGGUGAAACUCAAAGGAAUUGACGGGG
rnacentral:rRNA from 1 species